rnacentral:piRNA from 1 species
AACUCUUUUGGGCAAGAGGGACACCACC